rnacentral:rRNA from 1 species
UAGGGAAUCUUCGGCAAUGGGGGGAACCCUGACCGAGCAACGCCGCGUGAGUGAAGAAGGUUUGCGGAUCGUAAAGCUCUGUUGUUAAGGAAGAACGAGUGUGAGAAUGGAAAGUUCAUGCUGUGACGGUACUUAACCAGAAAGGGACGGCUAACUACGUGCCAGCAGCCGCGGUAAUACGUAGGUCCCGAGCGUUGUCCGGAUUUAUUGGGCGUAAAGCGAGCGCAGGCGGUUAGAAAAGUCUGAAGUGAAAGGCAGUGGCUCAACCAUUGUAGGCUUUGGAAACUGUUUAACUUGAGUGCAGAAGGGGAGAGUGGAAUUCCAUGUGUAGCGGUGAAAUGCGUAGAUGUAUGGAGGAACACCGGUGGCGAAAGCGGCUCUCUGGUCUGUAACUGGCGCUGAGGCUCGAAAGCGUGGGGAGCGAACAGG